rnacentral:rRNA from 1 species
UGUAGUCUCAAUGAUGAUGCAUACAUGUCAACUAUGGGUGUUGGGUCCAACAAUUCGCAUUGGUCUCAAACCAAUGACAUCCAUUUGGAAGACCAUGAGUUUGAGGUGGACGAGGAGGGUGAGAGCAUUGUCGACGCGCCGAAAGGAAGAGCGGGCAAUUGCAGCACCAACGAUGACAAGUUACUAUGCAAUACUUAUUUGCAAGUGUCAAGGGAUCCAUCAAUUGGAGGUGAUUAAAGUAGAGAUGCGUAUUGGGGGCGAAUGAAAGAAUACUUUGAUGCUCACAACAUGAGUGGAAUUGACCGCUCGGAGAGAUCACUUCGGUCCCGAUGGUCCACAAUCAACUCGGAUUGUCAAAAGUGGGCGGCCGCACAAAAGUCAGUUGACAAGAUUAACCCAAGUGGCACAAAUGAGGAUGAUAGAGUAAGUGGCAUCUCAUAUAUGUUCAUCUCAUAUUGUUUUUGGUGUCCGAAGUGCUAA